rnacentral:lncRNA from 1 species
AGAGACUGAAUUGCAGAACCACCUGUCUCAGGCAGUAGAAAAACAGACUGGAAAGCCAAUGGAAUGGCUGCAGAUUUUGGGAGACAAAACAUGUUAUUUAGAUGCAUCCACAAGGCUCAGCACUUUCAUGCGAAGUGAAGUUUUAGAUGAAUGGUUUAUCAACACCCAUGGCUUCCGGCCCACACUGGAGUCACAUUUCCCUCUCCUUUUCAAUCUUCUAUUCUAUGUCAGAACUGCAGGGAUUAACUUGCUAAGUUUUAAGUGCUACAAGAUACUGAAGAACGAUAAGGUAAAUGACUGACUUAAACAUGCUUCUCCAUCUUGAGCCCAGGCAUUUGGUAUGGUAUUAGUACCACCCCACCUGCCCAGGCAGGCACCAAACAUGUCUCCAGCUGAGCCAGUGCCCUCUGCAGCCGGGACACGCUUAGCAGAGGGAGACAGGAGAGUGACAGAAGACAAAGUCCAAUGUCUGCUGCCUGCUUAAGAAAACUCUGACUACAUUUAUUUGUUUUUAUGCAUUGUCUCAAACGUCUCCCAAGAUUUUUAUUUUGGUAAUAGAAUUUCCUCAAGGUAGAAAUAACACUGCAGAGACAAGAAGAUAAUUUUAUUUUACUGUCCAGUUAUUUUCUUAAAAAACUUUAAUGCUUGAUAAAAUAAAACAAAAUUUUAGUACCAUAGAAACCUUCUGACAUGUAUGAUGACUUAUCAAUAUGUACAACUUCAAAACCAAAUGCUUCCA